rnacentral:rRNA from 1 species
AGUGGCGGACGGGUGAGUAACGCGUGAGAAUCUGCCUCUAGGUUGGGGACAACAGUUGGAAACGACUGCUAAUACCCAAUGUGCCGUAAGGUGAAAGAUUUAUUGCCUGGAGAGGAGCUCGCGUCUGAUUAGCUAGUUGGUGAGGUAAAGGCUUACCAAGGCAUCGAUCAGUAGCUGGUCUGAGAGGAUGAGCAGCCACACUGGGACUGAGACACGGCCCAGACUCCUACGGGAGGCAGCAGUGGGGAAUUUUCCGCAAUGGGCGAAAGCCUGACGGAGCAAUACCGCGUGAGGGAGGAAGGCCUUUGGGUUGUAAACCUCUUUUCUCAGGGAAGAAGAUCUGACGGUACCUGAGGAAUAAGCAUCGGCUAACUCCGUGCCAGCAGCCGCGGUAAUACGGAGGAUGCAAGCGUUAUCCGGAAUCAUUGGGCGUAAAUCGUCCGCAGGUGGUUUUUCAAGUCUGCUGUUAAAGACUGGAGCUCAACUCCGGAAAGGCAGUGGAAACUGAGAAACUAGAGUUCGGUAGGGGUAGCGGGAAUUCCCAGUGUAGCGGUGAAAUGCGUAGAUAUUGGGAAGAACAUCGUGGCGAAGGCGCGCUACUGGACCGAAACUGACACUCAGGGACGAAAGCUAGGGUAGCGAAAGGGAUUAGAUACCCC